CAUGAGACGCAAGUAACCUGAUUGGUGGGAUGGCUUAUGCCUGCACCAUCGACCGACCAUGAUCUUCUGUGAAAGGUUUGAGUACGAGCAUACCUGUUGGGACCCGAAAGAUGGUGAACUAUGCCUGAGCAGGGCGAAGCCAGAGGAAACUCUGGUGGAGGCUCGUAGAUGUGCUGACGUGCAAAUCGCUUUUCGGACUUGGGUAUAGGGGCGAAAGACUACUAGUAGCUGGUUCCCUCCGAAGUUUCCCCCAGGAUAGCUGGAGCUUGAUCAGUUUUAUCGGGUAAAGCGAAUGAUUAGAGGUACCGGGGAUGAAACAUCCUCGACCUAUUCUCAAACUUUAAAUAGGUAAGACGUCUGGGUUGCUUAAUUGAACCCAGGCACUCAAUGAGAGCUCCAAGUGGGCCAU
rnacentral:rRNA from 1 species